UGAAUGAUGACGUCGGGCGUAUAAAAACGGUUACUCCGCCGUAUCACGGAGUAAUGUUUCUCAUUUACUACAGCGCAGCGCUCAUGCGAUGUUUCAGAAGUAAAAGGAAAAUUCCGAUUUCCGAAUAAGAAAAGCAGAGCGCAUUAGCAUUUAGCAGUACAGGUAGUUCAGUACCGAAAAUUCCUCGCUUCGCGCCGGCGAAUGACCUCCAUCCCCGCCAUUUCGCCUCUCUAUCUCUCUACGCCGUCGCUCCGAAUUCUCUCCCAACCUUUGUUCUUCUCCGUCGAAGAGUAAUCAGUGCUAAGGGAUGAUGUUGGGCUUUUUAUGGAGGAAACUCGUUUCUGGAGUCUCUUCUGAUUCGGUACUAAUCCUGACUUGAGCUUCAUGCAUCUCUACAUAUACACAUGCAUCGUGAAUACUUAUAUGUUUUUUUAGACAUAUAGGAGUAACAUUUUGUUUCUGAUUCCGAAUAAGAAAAGCAUAGCACAUUAGCACGGGUAGUUCAGUACCGAAAAUUCCUCGCUUCGCGGCGGCGAAUGACCUCCAUCCCCGCCAAUUCGCCUCUCUAGCUAUCUCUCUCUACGCCGGACCUCCGCUCCGAAGUCUCUCCCUAGCUACCUUUGUUCUUCUCCGUCGAAGAGUAAUCAGGUUAAAGCUUCUUCCCUCCUUCACGAUCUUACAGGACAUAUUCCAUUUCCGCUAGCUAUUCCAUUUCUGUUUUUGAUUAUUUUGAUCGAUUGAGCAGUACUAAGGGAUGAUGUUGGGCGUUUUACGGAGGAAACUAGUUUCUGGAGUCGUCUCUUCUACUUCGAUAUUAAUUCACCCAAGGGGAUUCAGUCACUUCAUUUUACCCGGU